AACGCAUUUUCACAGCCAUUCACAACAUAUAACAGUAUCUCAUCGAGGUUGAACCCUUCCGGGGCGUUCUUGGCCCAUGACGAAUGUUGAAUUGUGUUGUAAACUAAAUGAAUUUCUUCGGAAAGGAUUUUGUUUUUAUUUUUGCUUGGACUGAAGAACAAAUUUUUUUCUUUACUGGUCUCGGGUGCAACAACUCAUCUGUCGUCUGCCUCUGUGCAGAUCUAAGGGUUUACCUUCGUGUGCCCGUAUGGGAGUUGUUGCAAGGAUCACUAAUACAUCU
rnacentral:snoRNA from 1 species